AACGAACGCUGGCGGCAUGCCUAACACAUGCAAGUCGAACGAGACCUUCGGGUCUAGUGGCGCACGGGUGCGUAACGCGUGGGAACCUGCCUUUAGGUUCGGAAUAACUCAGAGAAAUUUGAGCUAAUACCGGAUGAUGUCUUCGGACCAAAGAUUUAUCGCCUUUAGAUGGGCCCGCGUUGGAUUAGCUAGUUGGUGGGGUAAAGGCCUACCAAAGCGACGAUCCAUAGCUGGUCUGAGAGGAUGAUCAGCCACACUGGGACUGAGACACGGCCCAGACUCCUACGGGAGGCAGCAGUGGGGAAUAUUGGACAAUGGGCGAAAGCCUGAUCCAGCAAUGCCGCGUGAGUGAUGAAGGCCUUAGGGUCGUAAAGCUCUUUUACCCGAGAUGAUAAUGACAGUAUCGGGAGAAUAAGCUCCGGCUAACUCCGUG
rnacentral:rRNA from 1 species